rnacentral:rRNA from 1 species
ACAUUUUAUGGCUUCGUAGGUGACCUGCGGAAGGAUCAUUC